rfam:Rattus norvegicus chromosome 1, whole genome shotgun sequence.
GGGGAUUUAGCUCAGUGGUAGAGCACUUGCCUAGCAAGCACAAGGCCCUGGUUUCAGUCCUCAGUUCCCC